rnacentral:tRNA from 4 species
GCUGUUAUAGCUCAGUGGUAGAGCACUUCCUUGGUAAGGAAGAGGUCCGGGGUUCAAGUCCCCGUAACAGCUCGA